rnacentral:rRNA from 1 species
CGAACGGGUGAGUAACGCGUGAGCAACCUGCCUAUGACAGUGGGAUAGCCUCGGGAAACCGGGAUUAAUACCGCAUGAAAUCGUAGAAACACAUGUUUUAACGGUCAAAGAUUUAUCGGUCAUAAAUGGGCUCGCGUCUGAUUAGCUAGUUGGUGAGAUAACAGCCCACCAAGGCGACGAUCAGUAGCCGGUCUGAGAGGAUGAACGGCCACAUUGGAACUGAGACACGGUCCA